rnacentral:misc_RNA from 1 species
AACCUAGCACACCUGCGGUGUGUACCUGCGGAAGGAUCAUUACCGAGUUAGGGUGUCUGUUCGCAGCGCCCGACCUCCCAACCCUUUGUCUAUGAUACCUAAACAGUUGCUUCGGCGUGCCGAGGGGUCGUACCCUCGCCGGGCCUCACGGCCGGGAGCGCGCACGUCGACGGCCUUUAUCUAACACUUGAACCCAAAACCUGUCGUCUGAAAACUUGUGAUUAACCAAUAAUCAAAAAC